AGAAUCAACGCUGGCGGCGUGCCUAACACAUGCAAGUCGAUCGAGAAAGUGGAGCAAUCCAUGAGUAAAGAGGCGCACGGGUGAGUAACACGUGACUAACCUACCCUCGAGUGGGGAAUAACCUGGGAAACCCGGGCUAAUACCGCAUAAUACCCACGGGUCAAAGGAGCAAUUCGCUUGAGGAGGGGUCGCGGCAGAUUAGUUAGUUGGCGGGGUAAUGGCCCACCAAGACGAUGAUCUGUA
rnacentral:rRNA from 1 species